GAAAUCGGAGGUAAUACCGGAUGUGAUCGUCCCUCGCAUGAGGGAUUGUUUAAAGGUGGGGAUCUUCGGACCUGCCACUUCAGGAUGCGCCCGCGUCCCAUCAGCUAGUUGGUAAGGUAACGGCUUACCAAGGCUUAGACGGGUAGCUGGUCUGAGAGGAUGGUCAGCCACACUGGGACUGAGACACUGCCCAGACUCCUACGGGAGGCUGCAGUCGAGAAUCAUUCGCAAUGCACGAAAGUGUGACGAUGCGACGCCGCGUGGAGGAUGACGGCCUUCGGGUUGUAAACUCCUGUCAUGAGGGAAGAAUCCCCCGAUUCUGAAUAGGUUUUGGGGUUGACGGUACCCCAAGAGGAAGCCACGGCUAACUCUGUGCCAGCAGCCGCGGUAAUACAGAGGUGGCGAGCGUUGUUCGGAUUUACUGGGCGUAAAGGGUGCGUAGGCGGCAUCGCAUGUCGGAUGUGAAAUCUCACGGCCCAACCGUGAAAUGGCAUCCGAAACUGCGGA
rnacentral:rRNA from 1 species